UAGGGAAUAUUGGUCAAUGGGCGGAAGCCUGAACCAGCCAUGCCGCGUGCAGGAAGACGGCCUUCUGGGUUGUAAACUGCUUUUACCAGGGAACAAAUAGGCCAUGCGUGGCAAGUUGAGUGUACCUGGGGAAUAAGCACCGGCUAACUCCGUGCCAGCAGCCGCGGUAAUACGGAGGGUGCAAGCGUUGUCCGGAUUUAUUGGGUUUAAAGGGUGCGUAGGCGGUUGAUUAAGUCAGUGGUGAAAUCCUACAGCUUAACUGUAGAACUGCCAUUGAUACUGGUUGACUUGAGUACUGUUGAGGUAGGCGGAAUUUAUGGUGUAGCGGUGAAAUGCAUAGAUACCAUAAAGAACACCGAUAGCGUAGGCAGCUUACUAGACAGUGACUGACGCUGAGGCACGAAAGCGUGGGGAGCGAACGGGAUUAGAUACCCCCGUAGUCC
rnacentral:rRNA from 1 species